rnacentral:rRNA from 1 species
GACGAACGCUGGCGGCGUGCUUAACACAUGCAAGUCGAACGAAGUGGCGAACGGGUGAGUAACGCGUAAUCAACCUGCCAUUCAGAGGGGGACAACAGUUGGAAACGACUGCUAAUACCGCAUACUGAAGGAGGGGAUUGCGUCGGAUUGGCUAGUUGGGGGGGUAACGGCCCACCAAGGCGAGGAUCAGUAGCCGGUCUGAGAGGAUGAACGGCCACAUUGGGACUUGGACACGGCCCAAGCUCCCACGGGAGGCAGCAGUGGGGAAUCUUCCGCAAUGGACGGAAGGCUGACGGAGCAACGCCGCGUGAGUGAUGACGGCCUUCGGGUUGGAAAGCUCUGUUAAUCGGGACGCGGUACCGGAAUAGAAAGCCACGGCUAACUACGUGCCAGCAGCCGCGGUAAUUC